GGCUGUGGUGUUGGGUAGCUGUACUGCAGGUGGAGCCUAUGUACCAGCCAUGGCAGACGAGAGUGUCAUUGUCCGAAAGAAAGGCACCAUUUUCCUGGGAGGUCCUCCAUUGGUACGGGCUGCCACAGGGGAACAGGUGUCGGCUGAGGAUUUAGGAGGGGCCGACCUUCAUUGUAGUAAGUCUGGUGUGACUGACCACUACGCCCAGAAUGACCAGCAUGCAUUACAUAUAGCAAGGCGUAUCAUCAAAAACAUCAACUACAAGAAGGACCCAGGGGU